rfam:Otolemur garnettii contig013165, whole genome shotgun sequence.
GUCCUCAGCCAUACCACCUCGAACGUGUCCAAUCCCGUCUGAUCUUGGAAGCUAAGCAGGGUUGAGCCUGGUGAUUAUUUGGAUGGGAGACUGCCUGGGAAGACCAGCUACUAUACC